GACUCUUGGCAACGGAUAUCUUGGCUCUUUCAUCGAUGAAGAAUGUAGUGAAACGCGAUAGCUGGUGUGAAUUGUAGAAUCCCGCGAACCAUCGAGUCUUUGAACGCAAGUUGCGCCCGAGGCCACUCGGCCGAGGGAACGCCAGCCUGGGCGUCA
rnacentral:rRNA from 1 species